rnacentral:rRNA from 1 species
AUACGUAGGGUGCGAGCGUUGUCCGGAAUUACUGGGCGUAAAGAGCUCGUAGGUGGUUUGUCGCGUCGUCUGUGAAAUUCCGGGGCUUAACUCCGGGCGUGCAGGCGAUACGGGCAUAACUUGAGUACUGUAGGGGAGACUGGAAUUCCUGGUGUAGCGGUGAAAUGCGCAGAUAUCAGGAGGAACACCGGUGGCGAAGGCGGGUCUCUGGGCAGUAACGGACGCUGAGGAGCGAAAGCAUGGGUAGCGAACAGGAUUAGAUACCCUGGUAGUCCAUGCCGUAAGCGGUGGGCGCUAGGUGUAGGGGUCUUCCACGACUUCUGUGCCGUAGCUAACGCAUUAAGCGCCCCGCCUGGGGAGUACGGCCGCAAGGCUAAAACUCAAAUGAAUUGACGGGG